GAUGAACGCUGGCGGCGUGCCUAAUACAUGCAAGUCGAGCGAACAGACGAGGAGCUUGCUCCUCUGACGUUAGCGGCGGACGGGUGAGUAACACGUGGAUAACCUACCUAUAAGACUGGGAUAACUUCGGGAAACCGGAGCUAAUACAGGAUAAUAUAUUGAACCGCAUGGUUCAAUAGUGAAAGACGGUUUUGCUGUCACUGAUAGAUGGAUCCGCGCCGCAUUAGCUAGUUGGUAAGGUAACGGCUUACCAAGGCAACGAUGCGUAGCCGACCUGAGAGGGUGAUCGGCCACACUGGAACUGAGACACGGUCCAGACUCCUACGGGAGGCAGCAGUAGGGAAUCUUCCGCAAUGGGCGAAAGCCUGACGGAGCAACGCCGCGUGAGUGAUGAAGGUCUUCGGAUCGUAAAACUCUGUUAUUAGGGAAGAACAAAUGUGUAAGUAACUAUGCACGUCUUGACGGUACCUAAUCAGAAAGCCACGGCUAACUACGUG
rnacentral:rRNA from 1 species